GAUGAACGCUAGCUACAGGCUUAACACAUGCAAGUCGAGGGGCAGCGCAGUGUAGCAAUGCAUGGGCGGCGACCGGCGCACGGGUGCGUAACGCGUAUCCAACCUUCCCGUUACUCAGGGAUAGCCUUCCGAAAGGGAGAUUAAUACCUGAUGGUGUUGAAAUUUCGCAUGUUAUUUCAACUAAAGAUUUAUCGGUAACGGAUGGGGAUGCGUGACAUUAGGUAGAUGGCGGGGUAACGGCCCACCAUGCCUACGAUGUCUAGGGGUUCUGAGAGGAAGGUCCCCCACACUGGAACUGAGACACGGUCCAGACUCCUACGGGAGGCAGCAGUGAGGAAUAUUGGUCAAUGGUCGGAAGACUGAACCAGCCAAGUAGCGUGAAGGAUGAAGGUUCUAUGGAUUGUAAACUUCUUUUAUACGGGAAUAAAACCACCUACGUGUAGGUGCUUGUAUGUACCGUAUGAAUAAGCAUCGGCUAACUCCGUGCCAGCAGCCGCAGUAACAC
rnacentral:rRNA from 1 species